rnacentral:rRNA from 1 species
UACGUAGGGUGCGAGCGUUAAUCGGAAUUACUGGGCGUAAAGCGUGCGCAGGCGGUGAUGUAAGACAGAUGUGAAAUCCCCGGGCUCAACCUGGGAACUGCAUUGGUGACUGGCAGGCUUUGAGUGUGGCAGAGGGAGGUAGAAUUCCACGUGUAGCAGUGAAAUGCGUAGAGAUGUGGAGGAAUACCGAUGGCGAAGGCAGCCUCCUGGGCCAACACUGACGCUCAUGCACGAAAGCGUGGGGAGCAAACAGG